GACGAACGCUGGCGGCGUGCCUAAUACAUGCAAGUAGAACGCUGAAGGAGGAGCUUGCUUCUCUGGAUGAGUUGCGAACGGGUGAGUAACGCGUAGGUAACCUGCCUGGUAGCGGGGGAUAACUAUUGGAAACGAUAGCUAAUACCGCAUAAUAGUAGAUGUUGCAUGACAUUUGCUUAAAAGGUGCAAUUGCAUCACUACCAGAUGGACCUGCGUUGUAUUAGCUAGUUGGUGAGGUAACGGCUCACCAAGGCGACGAUACAUAGCCGACCUGAGAGGGUGAUCGGCCACACUGGGACUGAGACACGGCCCAGACUCCUACGGGAGGCAGCAGUAGGGAAUCUUCGGCAAUGGACGGAAGUCUGACCGAGCAACGCCGCGUGAGUGAAGAAGGUUUUCGGAUCGUAAAGCUCUGUUGUAAGAGAAGAACGAGUGUGAGAGUGGAAAGUUCACACUGUGACGGUAUCUUACCAGAAAGGGACGGCUAACUACGUGCCAGCAGCCGCGGUAAUACCUAAGUCCCGAGCGUUGUCCGGAUUUAUUGGGCGUAAAGCGAGCGCAGGCGGUUAGAUAAGUCUGAAGUAAAGGCUGUGGCUUUUUUUAGUACGCUUUGGAAACUGUUUAACUUGAGUGCAAGAGGGGAGAGUGGAAUUCCAUGUGUAGCGGUGAAAUGCGUAGAUAUAUGGAGGAACACCGGUGGCGAAAGCGGCUCUCUGGCUUGUAACUGACGCUGAGGCUCGAAAGCGUGGGGAGCGAACAGGAUUAGAUACCCUGGUAGUCCACGCCGUAAACGAUGAGUGCUAGGUGUUAGACCCUUUCCGGGGUUUAGUGCCGCAGCUAACGCAUUAAGCACUCCGCCUGGGGAGUACGACCGCAAGGUUGAAACUCAAAGGAAUUGACGGGGGCCCGCACAAGCGGUGGAGCAUGUGGUUUAAUUCGAAGCAACGCGAAGAACCUUACCAGGUCUUGACAUCCCUCUGACCGCUCUAGAGAUAGAGUUUUCCUUCGGGACAGAGGUGACAGGUGGUGCAUGGUUGUCGUCAGCUCGUGUCGUGAGAUGUUGGGUUAAGUCCCGCAACGAGCGCAACCCCUAUUGUUAGUUGCCAUCAUUCAGUUGGGCACUCUAGCGAGACUGCCGGUAAUAAACCGGAGGAAGGUGGGGAUGACGUCAAAUCAUCAUGCCCCCUAUGACCUGGGCUACACACGUGCUACAAUGGCUGGUACAACGAGUCGCAAGCCGGUGACGGCAAGCUAAUCUCUUAAAGCCAGUCUCAGUUCGGAUUGUAGGCUGCAACUCGCCUACAUGAAGUCGGAAUCGCUAGUAAUCGCGGAUCAGCACGCCGCGGUGAAAUACGUUCCCGGGCCU
rnacentral:rRNA from 1 species